rnacentral:rRNA from 1 species
UGGGGAAUAUUGGACAAUGGGCGAAAGCCUGAUCCAGCCAUGCCGCGUGUGUGAAGAAGGUCUUCGGAUUGUAAAGCACUUUAAGCGAGGAGGAGGGUACUGGUAUUAAUACUACCAGCUACUGGACGUUACUCGCAGAAUAAGCACCGGCUAACUCUGUGCCAGCAGCCGCGGUAAUACAGAGGGUGCGAGCGUUAAUCGGAUUUACUGGGCGUAAAGCGUGCGUAGGCGGCUAAUUGAGUCGGAUGUGAAAUCCCCGAGCUUAACUUGGGAAUUGCAUUCGAUACUGGUUAGCUAGAGUGUGGGAGAGGAUGGUAGAAUUCCAGGUGUAGCGGUGAAAUGCGUAGAGAUCUGGAGGAAUACCGAUGGCGAAGGCAGCCAUCUGGCCUAACACUGACGCUGAGGUAUGAAAGCAUGGGGAGCAAACAGG